rnacentral:rRNA from 1 species
CCUACGGGAGGCUGCAGUGGGGAAUAUUGGACAAUGGGGGGAACCCUGAUCCAGCCAUGCCGCGUGUGUGAAGAAGGCCCUCGGGUUGUAAAGCACUUUCAGUGAGGAAGAACGCCUGGUGGUUAAUACCCAUCAGGAAAGACAUCACUCACAGAAGAAGCACCGGCUAACUCCGUGCCAGCAGCCGCGGUAAUACGGAGGGUGCGAGCGUUAAUCGGAAUUACUGGGCGUAAAGCGCGCGUAGGUGGCUUGAUAAGCCGGUUGUGAAAGCCCCGGGCUCAACCUGGGAACGGCAUCCGGAACUGUCAAGCUAGAGUGCAGGAGAGGAAGGUAGAAUUCCCGGUGUAGCGGUGAAAUGCGUAGAGAUCGGGAGGAAUACCAGUGGCGAAGGCGGCCUUCUGGACUGACACUGACGCUGAGGUGCGAAAGCGUGGGUAGCAAACAGGAUUAGAUACCCCGGUAGUC